UUUGGAUGGAUUUCUUCGGAAUGAUAUCCUUAGUGACUGAGUGGCGGACGGGUGAGUAACGCGUGGGUAACCUGCCUCGUACAGGGGGAUAACAGUUAGAAAUGGCUGCUAAUACCGCAUAAGCGCACAGUGCCGCAUGGUACAGUGUGAAAAACUCCGGUGGUAUGAGAUGGACCCGCGUCUGAUUAGCUGGUUGGCAGGGUAACGGCCUACCAAGGCGACGAUCAGUAGCCGACCUGAGAGGGUGAUCGGCCACAUUGGGACUGAGACACGGCCCAAACUCCUACGGGAGGCAGCAGUGGGGAAUAUUGCACAAUGGGGGAAACCCUGAUGCAGCGACGCCGCGUGAAGGAAGACGUAUUUCGGUAUGUAAACUUCUAUCAGCAAGGAAGAUGAUGACGGUACUUGACUAAGAAGCCCCGGCUAACUACGUGCCAGCAGCCGCGGUAAUACGUAGGGGGCAAGCGUUAUCCGGAUUUACUGGGUGUAAAGGGAGCGUAGGCGGCCAUGCAAGUCAGAAGUGAAAGCCCGGGGCUCAACCCCGGGACUGCUUUUGAAACUGUAAGGCUAGAUUGCCGGAGAGGUAAGCGGAAUUCCUAGUGUAGCGGUGAAAUGCGUAGAUAUUAGGAGGAACACCAGUGGCGAAGGCGGCUUACUGGACGGUGAAUGACGCUGAGGCUCGAAAGCGUGGGGAGCAAACAGGAUUAGAUACCCUGGUAGUCCACGCUGUAAACGAUGAAUACUAGGUGUUGGGGUCCAAAAGGACUUCGGUGCCGCAGCAAACGCAAUAAGUAUU
rnacentral:rRNA from 1 species